GUGUGCUGUUCAGAUCGCCAUACCACCCCGAACGCGCCCGAUCUCGUCUGAUCUCGGAAGCUAAGCAGGGUCGGGCCUGAUCAGUACUUGGAUGGGAG